rnacentral:lncRNA from 1 species
ACUCGAUGUAAUUAAAAGCGUGGAAUAUUAUUCGUCGAACUAACAGAUAGAGAAUAACGCAGUGUGACGAACGAAUAGAACGAAUUAGCUUCUCGGUUCGUGAUAUCGAGUAAUAAUACCGGAGGCCCCCGAUAAACGAUUUAGUCUGGAAACCUCAAAAGGUUUUACUCCUACAUUCAACGCCUUUAGAAAAUUAUCUUUCGGAAUAAUAAUCAAAUAAUCGAUUGCUUUUAUACGACCAAUUUACUAUCCACGGUGGAAAAUUUCCAAAUCCUGUGAUUAAUAACAAAAAAAAAAAGAAAUUUGGUUCAUCGUCUUUGCCUUUGUCACCUUUCUUCGUUAAUUAUAUUCAUUUUUUUUCGGGAAUUUUUAUAAUUAACAUAUUACGAUAAAAUUGGCGAGAUUUUGUUCCCCUUUUUCUUUACUUUAUUUUAUUUUAUUAAUAGAAGUAAAAAGACGAUUAAUCGGUUCCGGAAUUAAAGUCUCAUUUUUAUUUAAAAGGUUAUCUAAUGUUAAAGUUAACCAGUGUGAAAUUCGAAUAAAACCAAGAGGACAGAAAUAAAUACGUUUUAAAACAAAGAUUAUUAUUUAAUCUCGCCAAGUGUUUCGGAUAAAAUAAAGAAAGAAGGAUGCAUUGGAGAUUAAUGAUUAUCGGAUUCGCAUAUAUUUUCAUGAUGUUUAUCUCGCUCGAUACAAUUGUUGCCACAAAUCAACCGAAGUUUUUAUAUUUCGAGCGAGAUUUCGAUACGGACAUUACGCAAACGAUAAAUUCACCGUUAAAUAUAUAUGGAGAGAAUAAAAAUUUAAAGGCAAGGAUAAUAAAGGCACCAUUAUUAGAACCAGUCAGUGCUUGCAAAAAUGGUCUAAGAAUGGAUGUAACUGGAAAAUGCAGGAGGGUAUUGUGAUCGUGCGAUUUUUAUUUGAAAAGAUAUAAAAAUAGAUAUAAAAAAAACACCGUUCAUCUUCUGUGGGCAUCGUUCGUUCAUUUUCAUCGUCAAAACCAAACUACGAAUGGGAUAUUCUUGAUUCCGGACGGCGAGAAGAAAGCCAAUCAAGCAAUGGCAAACCGCUUUCUUAUCGAUCGAGUUGUUCUUCUUUCUCUCUUUUUCUCUUUCCCUUUAAUUUUCCUACCUUUUCUUUCCCUCUCUGUCUCCCACCCACCCUCUCUCUCUCUCCUAUGGUUGCUGGGAUGAUGCUGGCAACGAUCAAAACCGUUCAAAUUCUAAACUUGGAAAUCAAGAAUAGGACACGCAGUCGAAAUUCGAGUUUGAUAAACUCGAGAAUCGAUUAAUUGAAAACGGAAAUGAAUAAAUUAAUCGACUCUC